rnacentral:rRNA from 1 species
GUCCUGGCCGUAAACGGUGGACACUAGGUGUUGGAGGCAUCGACCCCUCCAGUGCCGCAGCUAACGCAUUAAGUGUCCCGCCUGGGGAGUACGACCGCAAGGUUGAAACUCAAAGGAAUUGACGGGGGCCCGCACAAGCGGUGGAGCAUGUGGUUUAAUUCGACGCAACGCGAAGAACCUUACCGGGGUUUGACAUGCACGGGACAGGUGUGGAAACACACCCUCCCUUCGGGGUCCGUGCACAGGUGCUGCAUGGCUGUCGU